UGUUUCAAAUGCACCAUCACUUACAUCUUGAUAUCCAGGUAAAAGUGCAUUCUCACUGUGGGAGAUCCAUCUCACCAAUAUCACCAAGAUUAGCAGCACAGAUCAUGCCAGAUGCCAGUAACUUUCUACAACUGCAGAAGAAGGGUGAUGAGAGCAUAGUUUUGGCUGCACCAAGGUUUAUUAUACUGCAUAGCAAGAAGCCUGGAGUUAGCCAACAGGGAUGGUUAAUUCAGUGAGUCAGAGCCACAACAGUGCUUCAAGGACCCAGUUCUCCUGUCAGAAGAGGGAACCAAAGGAGACCCCCGACAGCCCCAGGAACAACAGCAAUGGAGCAUAGGUGGAUGUUUCUGGUGACCAGGAUGAGACCUGCUGGGACACCCCACUCACUCCAGAGCCUGCAGACACCAUCCUGGAAAAACUCGCAGAAGUCAGCAAAGGAAUCACUAAGGACGAAGACUGCUCUUGAACUUCCUUGGAAGGGACCACACAAGGUCCUCCUCACUACCCAGACGGCAGCCAACCUUCAGGGUCUUAAACCUUAGGUUCACAUCCCUCAAUUAAAAAGGGCUCCUCCAGACUCUUGGAAGCGCACACCAGCUGGAGACCUAAAAUUAAAAUUGACUAGAGAGGUUCCUCCCCAGAAGCAGACGGCGUCUUGAGGUGGACAGCUCUCCCAAGAUCAUGGAUCAAGACCUUCAUCUUCAAUAUGAAACCUUUAUUCCUUUUGCCUUUCUGCUAUUUGUUUUUUUCUCUUAACGCAUGGGAAGACAGUGCUCCUUAACUCUGGCAACUAUCACUGAAUGUACUGCUAAAGGCCAUAGUUACAUAACAAAAGUCCCUCGACUUUCUUGCUAAGGUAGUUUUAGAUAAUAGAAUUGCUUUAAUUACUUCUAGCUGAACAUGGAGUCUGUGCCAUAGCAAAUAGCUCCUGCUGUACCUGGAUCAACGCCUCUAGUAUUGUAGCAAAUACAGGAAAUUAACAAAAAAGCCACUUGGCUAAAACAGGUUGAUGCCUCUUCAGGUACAUUCUUUGAUUUAUUUGAUACCAAUUGGCUUGGUUCCUGGGGGCCCUAAGUCUGUUGGUAUUAUCCUCCUAAUAGUUGUCAUUGUAAUCUCCCUUGUGCACUAUGUUCUCUCAGAGAUCUUAAAUGCAUGUUCACAGCCAUCAGCAGUACAUCAGGUGGGCUCAUCGUGCCUGGACAAACAGAAACGAGAUGAACGGCAAAAAACAAUUCUUCCAUGGCUCUGACAUCAUAACCUAUGAGUUUCACAAUGAGACAAGAGCAACUUAACUCUGAUGGUGACUGAGAUUGGCACUAACAUCAAAUUUUUGGUCAAUCUCUCAUGUAUGAAAUGAUGACCAAAAGAGGGGAAUUGUUAAUUAAGCAAGGAGGCCAUUAGACUGAGGUGGCUCUAAUGCUGUGGUGGCCUAUGUAAACAAACCAAAAUCUAAGCCUCUAAAUGCCUCGAGGUUACAAAAUCAAAACUCUAAGGACCACCAAUCACAAACAGCCAACCAGACUUGAAGCUAUAGUCAAUCAAUAAUUUCCUUACUUCUGCCUCUUCUCUAUAAAAGUCUGCCUGAGCUCCUGACAGUGAAGCACUCCUAGCCACCUCGUUUGGCACUGCCAGAUUCCAACAGAUGUUUGCUCAAAUAAACUCAAAAAUUUUAAUACACUUUAGUUUAUUGUUUAACAAGUGACUUCCUCUCUGGAGCUUUUUACGACACUCUCCCUCCUCCUCGGGGGAUGUAAGCACUUGUGUCUGCUCUCUUCUAAACCGGCUUUAUCAGAGCACGUAUGAGGCUUGCACUUGCUUGCAUGCUCCUCUGCCCCUCCUGAAAUGUGUCCUCUUUGAGGCCGGGGACAAUAUCUGUAUUCUAUUCUGUGUGUUUAGGAUCUAGCACACAGGAGGCUCAAUAAAUAUUUGUUGAAUGAAUGAAUGGGGGAGGAGAAAUGAUCCAGAAAUGCCUAAUAUUAAUAACAAGCAUUUACCCAGGACUAAUUAUACGGCAGGCAUUACACAAAGGCAUGUAUGCUGAAUGGACUGAUUUAUUCCUAAGACAGCCCUAUGAAGUAGGAGCCACUAUUAUCUUCACUUUAAAUUUAAGAAAAGUACAUCACAGUGAGGCUAAUCACUUGUCUAAGGUCACAAACUAGGAAGUGACAAGUGUGGCACUGGAUCCCAGAGCCCAUCAUGUUCUUUGCCUUUACACAGAGAGGGAAAAGGAUGCUCCACCCGCAUUAGAGGUGGAGACCUCUCUAGAGGGCCCUAAUCCAGGGGAGAGCUGCAAGGGGUGCUGCCAUUGGUGGGAUUUGUAGCUUUUAGGAUCCUGAAGGCUUUUGCAUUCUUGGACAUUUUACGGGGACAGGGAAAAAAGCAUUUCUCAAGGACUUAAGAAGGGAUGGCAAUGGAGAGAAACAAAAGAUAGCAUCUAAGGUUUUGCUCUAAAAGGUUAGAAUCUGGAGAGAAAACCUCCAUUCACUGGCAAGAAAAGUAAAAACACUAACGCUGGGGCUGGCCCCCUGGCCGAGUGGUUAAGUUUGUGCUCUCUGCUUCACGGCCCAGGGUUGUUGGUUCGGAUCCUGGGUGCAGACCUGCACACCACUCCUGAAGCCAUGCUGUGACAGCAUCCCACACAGAAGAACUAGAACGACUUACAACUAGUAUAUGCAAC
ensembl:lncRNA